rnacentral:rRNA from 1 species
ACUCCUACGGGAGGCAGCAGUGGGGAAUUUUGGACAAUGGGCGCAAGCCUGAUCCAGCAAUGCCGCGUGCAGGAAGAAGGCCUUCGGGUUGUAAACUGCUUUUGUACGGAGCGAAAAAGCCUCCUCUAAUACGGGAGGCUGAUGACGGUACCGUAAGAAUAAGCACCGGCUAACUCCGUGCCAGCAGCCGCGGUAAUAC